rnacentral:rRNA from 1 species
ACAUUAUUCAUUCGUCGGCUUCCUCAUGCUAGUCGAGCGGUACAGGGGUAGCUUGCUACCCGUUGACGAGCGGCGGAGGGAGAGAAAUGCAUAGGAAUCUGCCCGAUAGUGGGGGAUAACCUGGGGAAACCCAGGCUAAUACCGCAUACGUCCUACGGGAGAAAGGGGGCUCCGGCUCCCGCUAUUGGAUGAGCCUAUGUCGGAUUAGCUAGUUGGUGAGGUAAAGGCUCACCAAGGCGACGAUCCGUAGCUGGUCUGAGAGGAUGAUCAGCCACAUCGGGACUGAGACACGGCCCGAACUCCUACGGGAGGCAGCAGUGGGGAAUAUUGGACAAUGGGCGAAAGCCUGAUCCAGCCAUGCCGCGUGUGUGAAUAAGGCCCUCGGGUUGUAAAGCACUUUCAGCGAGGAAGAACGCCUAGUGGUUAAUACCCAUUAUGAAAGACAUCCCCCGCAUAAGAAGCACCGGCUAACCCCGUGCCAGCAGCCGCGUUACUACGGAGGUUGUAUGCGUUAAUCGGAAUUACUGGGCGUAUAGCGCGCGAAUGUGGCUUGAUUUUCCUGUUGUGAUACUUCUGUCUCACCUGGGAACGGUUUCUUGCUUUUUAUCUAGUUUGCAGGACAUUAGGUAGAUUUCCCUGUGUUCCGUUGUAUUGUUAAUAUCUUCGGAAU